rnacentral:lncRNA from 10 species
UCCUGCAUGACUGAAGAACUUAGUUCUCAUUAAAUUGCCCUCUCCUUUUACUUAUUAUAACCAGAAAUCAAUUGCCAGUUUUUUCAGUAACAGGCGAUAAUGGUUUUGCUGGCGUUAAUGAGAGCAGUGGGAACAGACAGCCGAGGGUGAAGGGAGGACAGUGCUGUUGUGGGGACAGCGUGAUGCAGGCACAGACAGUACACCUGCGAGAAAGUUACAUCCCAGGAGGGGCACAUAUGAAAAGAAAGAAGUAAGAAUGCCACAUGGUAUGAAAAAAACAAGAGUAGCAUUGACAGCAACUAGGUCAUUAGCAUCAGGAGAGGAGGGCAAGCACUCUGCCUAGUCUAACCACUUACCUAGUGUGGUUGUGUGAAAUGGUUAUAUUUGAGCUGAAACGGGAACACUGAGAAGGAGACAGCGCUGAGCAAGAACAAUUCCAGGCAGAGGAACCAGCAAGUUUGUCACGUUUUUCUAGGCAGAAGGUAGUCCAACAUGGCGAUGCAGAGUGAAUGAGGAGGUUAAUGGUAGGAGAUGAGAUCAAAGGGGUGGGCAGGAUGGUCUCGAUCUCCCAAAAUGGCCAGACCAUUUUGGGUCCUAUAGGCCUGGUAAGGGGACUGGAUCUACUAUGGCCACUGUGUGGCACAUGGGCUGUAAAGGACAAGAUUGAGAACCAAGAGACUGAACAAGAAGUUGUUUCUUCACCUGUACAAGUGUUGAUGGUGGAUGGGCUAGGCUAGUUGUGGUGAAAAAGACCACAUUCAGGACCUGUUUUGGAGAUAUGCCACUAAGACUUGCUAAUGAGGUGUAUAUGGGAAUGAGAGAAAGGGAAGAAUCAUCAGAGACUUCUAGACUUACGGCUUGAGCAAAUGAGUGAAUAGUGUUGCACUCAAAGAAGUUGGCGAAAUGAGCAGGGAGGGCAACAGGUUCCAGAGGAAAAGCAAGAACUUUAUUUUGGACACUUGGGGUUGAGACUCCUGUUAGACCCAGAAGGGAAGAUUGACAGAGUCAUCAUGACUCCAACACUGGACCAUAUUCUGACCACUAGAGGAACUGAAUUAGAGUUUCACUGAUGACAACUCCAUGCUGUUUGGGAUCAGCCAGACUUGACAAAACAUGCUGACACACCAAUCACGUGUCACAACACCAGACUCACAGACAACAUUUUCAUGGACACUGAGCCACUUCUGCUUUUAUCCUGUCCUCCUCCACUUCUAGCCUUCAGACACUUGGUGCCUCCCUGAGGAUACACCAACACUUCAAGAACACAGAGUGCACCUGGAGUCGGCUGAGUAGUCCUGUGUCCUGAAAUAACUGCUCGACGUUCCCAGAGCCAGUAAAUGGGAUUUGGGACAUUUUUGUCAUGAAGUCACAAUGUGGGACUAUAAAUGUCUUGCCUUUAAGGGUAGGGUCUUCCCAUGACCCAUCCAUAACAUUUGUGAAAAUGUUGUGUGUUGUGCGUUUUGGAGAGAAGAAUUUUCAUUAUCUUCACAAAGGGAUCUGUUACCCUAAAAGAUUUAGAAUCACUCAGCUUAUUGGUAAGAUGUGCCUAUUCUUUUAGACUCCAGGUGAGGCUUGAUCUCCAGUCUCAAAAGGAAAUAUAUGAUGUCAUCAGACCCCUAGUAAGGUAUUUCUGAAUGUAUGAUAUCAUUUCCAUGUAACUCACCUUGCUAAGUCAUUUAGAUCCAACCGACCAUCUUUAUUUCUGUCAAAAAUCUUCAUCUGAAAUGCAGAAGGGAAAAUGGUUGUACUUGUAACAGGAACUAAUUCUGAACGUUAUUAAAGCACUUUUCUAUUUUGCUCUUCUGAUUACAUAUUUGCCUAAAUUGGCUGAGGAGCCCACUUGCCUGGGGGAAAAUUAGUAUUUGUCACAGAAGGAAUUGCAUGUCAGCCUCUCUGUUAGGAUGAGUCGUAGUAACCAAAUCUCCUAAAUCUCAGUGGCUUAACACAACACAGGUUUAUUUUUCACAGGGUUAGCUGGCAGCUCUACUUCAUGUUGUCUAUACUCUGGCGACAUGGAGUGACAAAGUAGUGACCAUCUGGCACAUUCCUGAUUGCCAUGGCAGAAAGAAAGAAUAAUAAAUAAUUUACUGAUUAAAAUUUUAUUGUCCAAAGCAGAUCCCUGGCCACAGCUACCUUCAAAGGGACAGAAUAAUACAAUCCUGCCAUGUGCUUAAGAGGAAAACUAAUUAUUUGGAGGAUAGCAGCAACGACUACCACAGUCUCUGACAGGCAAAACAGGAUUUUUAUAAAGAUUACAAGCUUGAAAUAUGGGUACUUGGUUUGAGUCAAGGUUUUCUGAAACUAUUUUAUUCUAGCCCUCAUUUAGCAUAUCAACCACCAAGGAGGGCUUGGAGGGCUCAUAUCAUAGGGUACUCUCAUAGGGUAUAGGAGAAACCUCAUGUUUCCGUGAAGGCAAAAGGUGUUGACACUGAGUCUUUCCUUUCAUAGAGAGACUUAGCAUUGUCCAAAGAAGUUGUUUACAUUAUUAGAUGAGACUAAACUUUAAACAAGAUAGGACUAAAAGUUAAAAGUUUCUGCACUAACCACAAAUUAGAAAGACCAGAUUGGUUUGGGCAAAAUAGAAGAGAGAGAUUUCUUUGCAGAUCUGAGUUGAAAUGUGAGUGAAUUUUGUGACUUUACAACAUUUUAAUGCUACAGAAUAUCUCUAAGCAUAUCCAUAUAAGGAGGCUGCACAGGGAAAAAGAGGGAGCGAGAUAAUCUGAAAAUACAUCCAACAGAUUUUUGCUUUAAAAAAUGCAUUAGUCCCCCAUCCUUCCUCUGUCUCCAAAUCCAGUUUAUUUUUAAUAUUUCAAAUGAAUUUGAAAACCUAUUCUCACCACUUUGGCACCAAAAAUGUGUAUUACAGAAUUAAAACACAGGUUACAUUUUUAUACAUUUGGACAUGUUACAUGUCCAAUUACGUCCCUUAAACAUAAACACUAUACAGUAUCCAGUAAAAAGUCUGAUGGGGAUAAACUUUGCCAGAAGAUGAGCCAUGAGUUAUUUUCUGUGACACCUUCAUUAUGAGAGGUUCUAUCUUAAUAGAAAGCUAGGUCAGCUUGAGCUCUAAGCAAGUAACAACUCACCUUGAAAGACGUGGGCCUAACUCCAUUGCUGUGCAAACUUACUCCAAGAGAAAACAAUCCUGUGCUCGAAAUUGGCCUGGGUUGAACUAAACACCAGUGUGGUAAAUUAUGCUUCUACCUAUCAGAAAAUUGGCUAUGGCUCACGUAAGAAUAAGAAUCAGGAAAAAAAUCAUUUGCCUAAUUUUUCCAUCUCUGAGUGUAUACCAGCAGGGAUGAAUGGCACACAUAUUCGGCUGUGUCUGCUCUUCUACUUUCCUGGGGCCUCUGUAGCUCUAAGUUCAAAUAUUAAUAAUGAGGGAAGCUUGCAGCAUGCCUGUAGCACCAGACUAGAAAUCAGAUCUUGUGUGACAUUAAGACAUUAUGCUUCUUUGCAAGUAUAACCUUUAGUGAAUUUUGAAUGCUUGGCAUAUUUGUUUGAGACAUAAUGGCUUCUUAAUUUUUAAACUAUAAUAAAGACCAUUUAUGAGGG